CUGACACGAUAACUUAAACUGGAGGAGCCCAAUAAUGUGUAUUAUUUGCUGCCUUGGUCGAGACUGUAUGGUUAAAGCUCUCAUUUGCUUGGAAACUGGCAAGUUUUGAUAGUUUCUUUGAUUGGCUCUUUAUUUUUCCCGGAAACACUUACUCCAGAUCAGCUUUGAGACUUUUUAGAUUUCAAGUCCUUUAUGAAUGGUAAAUUUGUG
rnacentral:lncRNA from 1 species